UGGGGUUUGGUAAUGGGCGCAGCCUGAUCAUCCUGCCGCGUGAUGAAAAGGCCUUCGGGUUGUAAGCUGUUUUGUCAGGGAAGAAAACGUGGACUCAUCAAGCUUGACCGGACGUACCAGAA
rnacentral:rRNA from 1 species